rnacentral:lncRNA from 1 species
AGAGACGGUUCUUCCUGAGAACCCUCAGGAAGUGCAGACGCUGCUGAGCCUUUUUGAUGACGGCUGUGGUGGUGGCUGUCCAAGAGAGGUCAUCUGAGAUGAGGACGCCGAGGAACCUGAUGGUGCGGACCCUCUCCACAAGCUCGCCGUUGAUGUGUAGGGGGGCGGGGUCGGUGCUCUGCUUCCUGAAGUCGAUGAUGACUUCCCUGGUCUUUUUGGUGUUCAGAGUGAGGUUGUUCUCUGAAGACCAGGUUGCCAGAUUCAGGACCUCCUCCCUGUAGGCAGACUCCUCCCCUCUGGAGAUAAGUCCAACCACUGUGGUGUCGUCGGCGAAUUUUAUGAUCCGGUUAUUGUGGUGGGCUGGACUACAGCCAUAGGUGUAAUCUGAUGGGAUUAAUUUUGCAGGUUUUAUAAUCCGAACCCCAUUUGGCAGAGAUCUGGGACCAAGGAGAAACUGGCAUCGGCGCUCGAAAAAGUUGAUAACAUGUAGGUUUUGACCUCCUUUGUGACGUUAAAUUCUAUUUACAGAUUAUGUUUGACUUCAUCUCGUCUUCACAGGACACUCGAUGCUCCACAACUUCCAGUCGAUCACGCCUUUGGAAUCGUUUCGUCUGCGGAUUCCAUCGGAGCUGGAGAAAUAAUCCACCGCACAGAUCCGGGUCAGCACAGCAGCGGUCCGCUCCAAGCGCUGAGGCACCGCCUCAAGAACCUCAACCUGCAGAACUUUCCCUCUGUGACGAAGGCCUUCCAACAUUACGACAAGGUAGGAGCAAAAACCCAUUCACACUUCAGUUCUUUGCUGUUCUAACAGUGGAACACACAGAGGAUUAACUGUGGUUCAUGAAGGUCAGAUCGCUGUCCAAAUCUUCUUCUGUGAAUCACCAGAAAAGAAAAGAUCGAUCGACACAGACGACCUGAAGGCCGUCUUCCGGGAGUUCCUGCUGGACGUGAACCCAGCGGUUCUGGAUCAGCUCCUGGCCUGCUGCGGCGCCGACGGAGACGGGCUCAUCAGCUUCACCCAGUUCUCCAACUUCCUCAACUGGAAGGGCUUCAUGCCCCUUCACAGCCAGAAGCCGCGGGGUCGACGGAAAGGUCGGCGAGCCGCAGAGAAAGAGUUUUGUUCUCUAU